UACGUAGGGUGCGAGCGUUAAUCGGAAUUACUGGGCGUAAAGCGUGCGCAGGCGGUUCGCCAAGUCAGGGGUGAAAUCCCCGGGCUUAACCUGGGAAUUGCGUUGGAGACUGCAAGGCUGGAGUCUGGCAGAGGGGGGUAGAAUUCCACGUGUAGCAGUGAAGUGCGUAGAGAUGUGGAGGAACACCGAUGGCGAAGGCAGCCCCCUGGAUCAAGACUGACGCUCAUGCACGAAAGCGUGGGGAGCAAACAGG
rnacentral:rRNA from 1 species